AACGAACGCAGGCGGCAGGCCUAACACAUGCAAGUCGAACGGACGUAGCAAUACGUUAGUGGCGCACGGGAGAGUAACGCGUGGGAACCUACCUUUUGGUUCGGGAUAACAUCGGGAAACUGGUGCUAAUACCGGAUAAGCCCUUCGGGGGAAAGAUUUAUUGCCGAAAGAUGGGCCCGCGUUGGAUUAGCUAGUUGGUGAGGUAAUGGCUCACCAAGGCAACGAUCCAUAGCUGGUCUGAGAGGAUGAUCAGCCUCACUGGGACUGAGACACGGCCCAGACUCCUACGGGAGGCAGCAGUGGGGAAUAUUGGACAAUGGGGGAAACCCUGAUCCAGCCAUGCCGCGUGAAUGAUGAAGGCCUUCGGGUUGUAAAGUUCUUUUGGUGGGGACGAUGAUGACUGUACCCACAGAAUAAGCUCCGGCUAACUUCGUGCCAGCCGCCGCUGUAA
rnacentral:rRNA from 1 species